GUCGUGAGACAGUUCGGUCCCUAUCUGCCGUGGGCGUUGGAAGAUUGAAGGGGGCUGCUCCUAGUACGAGAGGACCGGAGUGGACGAACCUCUGGUGUUCGGGUUGUGUCGCCAGACGCAUUGCCCGGUAGCUAAGUUCGGAAUCGAUAACCGCUGAAAGCAUCUAAGCGGGAAGCGAGCCCUGAGAUGAGUCUUCCCUGAUACUUUAAGUAUCCUAAAGGGUUG
rnacentral:rRNA from 1 species